rnacentral:lncRNA from 1 species
UAGAAUGUUGUGGAUGGAUAAAUUGUGUCUAAACAUAUAAUUGUAUUUGGUUGAAAUAUUGAAGUUGUUUGAAAUUGUGUUUCGAGAAUUUGCAGGAGGAAUUGAAUUUUUAUGAAAAGGAAUUAUGUCAAAAUUUUUGUAAAAAAUAUAUAUAUUUCAGAUCGUUUGAUAAUAGUUCUUACUUUGUUUCGAUGAUGAAUACGGGUAAGAGGUGUUACAUCAUGUCUCAAGUUUUCCUCAUUAGGAACAAAUAACCUUCCCAUAAAACGUAGGUCCCUCUUAUUUCCCAGGCUAAAACUUCUUGCAUCGUUAAACAUCAUACAUUAUUUUAUCUCAUCACACUGAUCAUCCUUGAAUUGGAACUCAAAUAUUUGGGAAAGAAAAAAAAGUCACACCCUUAACUCAGCAAGGAAGAC